GACGAACGCUGGCGGCGUGCUUAACACAUGCAAGUCGAACGGAAAGGCCCUGCUUUUGUGGGGUGCUCGAGUGGCGAACGGGUGAGUAACACGUGAGUAACCUGCCCUUGACUUUGGGAUAACUUCAGGAAACUGGGGCUAAUACCGGAUAGGAGCUCCUGCUGCAUGGUGGGGGUUGGAAAGUUUCGGCGGUUGGGGAUGGACUCGCGGCUUAUCAGCUUGUUGGUGGGGUAGUGGCUUACCAAGGCUUUGACGGGUAGCCGGCCUGAGAGGGUGACCGGCCACAUUGGGACUGAGAGACGGCCCAGACUCCUACGGGAGGCAGCAGUGGGGAAUAUUGCACAAUGGGCGGAAGCCUGAUGCAGCAACGCUGCGUGCGGGAUGACGGCCUUCGGGUGGUAAACCGCUUUCGCCUGUGACGAAGCGUGAGUGACGGUAAUGGGUAAAGAAGCACCGGCUAACUACGUG
rnacentral:rRNA from 1 species